AUGGAGAGGAUGACCCACUCCUAUUUCAAGGAGAUUUUCACAAAAGAUCCUACCCUAUCCCCGGAUGAGGUGUUGGAUUGCAUUGCUCCAAAAGUUACAGAGAAAAUGAACAUGAUGUUAUGUAGGCCUUAUUCAGAAGAGGAGAUUUCUAAUGCUUUAUUUCAAAUCGGGCCUCUAAAAGCUCCGGGAUGUGAUGGACUACCUGCAAAGUUUUUCCAACGGAAUUGGGCUCUACUCAAAACUGAAAUUGUUGCUGCGGUUCGUGAGUUCUUUGCGUCUGGGAUUAUGCCGGAUGCUGUCAAUGAUAUGGCUAUAGUGCUAAUUCCUAAGAUUCCUUUCCCAAGGACCUGA
rnacentral:rRNA from 1 species